rnacentral:rRNA from 1 species
AUACCCUACUAUACUAAACUUUAAUGAAAAACUUGAAUAUUAUAAGAUAUAGGCUUUAAAUUCAAAGAAUUUGGCGGUAAUUUAGUCUUUCCAGAGGAACCUGUUUUUUAAUCGAUACACCACGAAGAAUCUUACUUAUUCUAUUGAUUGUUUGUAUACCGUCAUUAUCAGAUAAUAUUUAAAGAUAUAAAUUAUUGAGGUUUUAAUAAAAACAAAAAUUAGAUCAAGGUGCAGCUUAUGGAUAAGUUAAAAUGGGUUACAAUUAAGUGCAUAUAAGAUGAAGUAAAAUUUGAAAUAAUUUUAUGAAGGAGGAUUUGGUUGUAAUAGGAAUUAGUAUGGUAAAAAGAUAUAAGCUCUAGAUUAUGUA